GACGAACGCUGGCGGCGUGCUUAACACAUGCAAGUCGAACGGAAAGGCCCUGCUUUUGUGGGGUGCUCGAGUGGCGAACGGGUGAGUAACACGUGAGUAACCUGCCCUUGACUUUGGGAUAACUUCAGGAAACUGGGGCGAAUAUCGGAUAGGAGCUCCUGCUGCAUGGUGUGGGAUGGAAAGUUUCGGCGGUUGGGGAUAGACUCGCGGCUUAUCCGCUGGUUGGGCGGGUUGGUGUUUACCAAGGUUAUGAAGGAUAGCCGGCCUGAGAGGGUGGCCGGCCACAUUGGUACUGAGAGACGGCCCAGACUCCUACGGGAGGCAGCAGUGGAGAAUAUUGCAGAAUGGGCGGAAGCCUGAUGCAGCAACGCCGCGUGCGGGAUGACGGCCUUCGGGUUGUAAACCGCUUUCGAAUGUGCCGAGGCGUGAGUGACGGUAAUGGGUAAAGAAGCACCGGCUAACUACGUG
rnacentral:rRNA from 1 species